rnacentral:rRNA from 1 species
AUUGAACGCUGGCGGAAUGCUUUACACAUGCAAGUCGAACGGCAGCACGGACUUCGGUCUGGUGGCGAGUGGCGAACGGGUGAGUAAUGUAUCGGAACGUGCCCAGUCGUGGGGGAUAACGUAGUGAAAAUUACGCUAAUACCGCAUACGAUCUAUGGAUGAAAGCGGGGGACCGUAAGGCCUCGCGCGAUUGGAGCGGCCGAUAUCAGAUUAGGUAGUUGGUGGGGUAAAGGCUCACCAAGCCGACGAUCUGUAGCUGGUCUGAGAGGACGACCAGCCACACUGGAACUGAGACACGGUCCAGACUCCUACGGGAGGCAGCAGUGGGGAAUGUUGGACAAUGGGCGCAAGCCUGAUCCAGCCAUUCCGCGUGCAGGAUGAAGGCCCUCGGGUUGUAAACUGCUUUUGUACGGAACGAAAAGGUCCUGGUUAAUACCUGGGGCUCAUGACGGUACCGUAAGAAUAAGCACCGGCUAACUACGUGCCAGCCGCCGCAGUAA